GUUUCAGUUUAACCAGCUGCUGCACCUCAGUCUGUAAUGGCUGCUUUAACAUCAGCUCCACUUGUGGUUUUGUUCGCAUGUUCAUGGAUCUUUGUUCUGUGUCAAGGGACACAGGAGCUGAAGGAGACAGUGAAGCCUGGAGAGACGCCACUCUUCAGUGUCGGGGUCACAGAGGUGUAACAUCACAGUGAUAAAGUGGAUCAGAACUGACCUGAAGUCAGAUGAUGGUUAUGUCUUCUUCUUCAGAGACGGCCGCUCAUAUGAAAUCUACCAGCAUGAAUCUUUUGUGGUCGAGUGGAGCUGAGAGAUCUGAAGGACGGAGACGCUUCUGUGAUUCUGAAGAACGUCAACAUCAACGACACUGGAACAUAUGAGUGUUGGUUAGACAGGAAAAUGCAUCUGAACUCACCGGCAUCGUCAGGCUGACAGUGACAGAUCCAGGUCACACAGCUGGACACAAGGAGGGAGGAGACAAGGAGGGAGGAGACAAGGAGGGAGGAACAAGGAGGAAGGAGACGGGGAGAGAAAUGUUCGACUGAAAGCCGGUCUGUCAGUUGGUGGGAUUCUUCUUGUUGGUGGUGUUGUUGUUGUUUUAGAAAGAAGAUCUUAACAAAAUAUAGAGAAUGCAAAGACAAUAACUCAGACCAACCUGCUGCUCCUGAAAAUGUGCCGAUGCAGGAAGCAGAGCCAGCAGAUGAGAAUUAAGACGUGUGAUGAAGAGAGGAUCCAGACUGAAGUCACUCUGGUUACUGUGGGGAGCAGUGAUUGGUCGUUACUCUCUGGCUGCUGAUUGGUGGACUGAACGUGCUGCUGGACAGAAGAAACACAUUCCUCCUGUAAAAUAAACCUGAGCUGUUGACACACGUCUGAUUUCACCUGGAGGCAGGUUAAUGCCAGAUGGGCUGACUGACCAGCAGCUCUGUGGGACAAACAAUAUGACCUGAUGCUGGAACAGCCAGCUGAUUGUUAUUACAGGAAGUGGUACAGACCGUCGGCACCUCCCCCCACCCCUUCAAGUGGAUCCAUCCAUCCAGGUAGAGUCAGAGGUCAAAUCAAAUUAAACGGGUAAAGGACCAAAAGAGAGAAAAGUUCAGAGAGAAAAAGAAUCAUAAUCUCAGGUCUGAAGCUGCAAAAUGUUUUAAAUCAACAGUUACUGAUGUCAGUGCUGCUCAACAUCCUGCUAGCUGCAGUUAUAACACUAACAGUCUGUUCUGGAUGACGGAGCUGGACUUUGUUCCCAGUCCGACCCUGAAGAGCUCAGUCCCUGUUGUUCACUCACCGACCUGCAUCAGAGGGGAAAAGAUCCUGUUUGGAUUCACUGCAGCUCUGUUUUCCUGCAUGAGGACAUUUUUCAUCGUCUUCUCUGAGAGCUGCUCAGGAACUCUGACUGUGAAAUGUUCUUAGACAACGAUACAGAUAAUCUGGACUGAAGUGGACUCAUGCUGCUGUGUGGAUUGUGUGUGUGUUUUCUGGACACUUUGUUGUAACAUCUUCGUGUUAUAUUUUCAUUAACUUUGAGUAUUUGGGAGAGUAAAACAGCACAACGGUCUGGUAAUCCACAUGUUUAUUAUUACAUUGACUUCAGCUGUUGAUGUUUUCUGAUCUGUUAGAAAGAGACUCUGACAGACAGCAGAGUUCACACAGCCACAUAUUCCUUCUUUAACAUUCAGCUGCAGGCUCAGACUCCCAAAACUCAGCUCACUUUUAUGCAAAGUUUGAGAUGAAAUUAUUAGUCGAUUAACUGAUUACACAAUGUACAGACACAUCUAAUGUGAACUAUUUUGUUUGAUACAUGUAAGUAUUUGCUGCUUUUGGUUGGAAUGAAUUUAAUUUUUGUUAAUAAUUAUAGAGAAUUGGACAAAUAAGCAUUGUGAAGAGGAAAUGUGUGAGGAAAAAUAAUCUGAUGAUAGAAUAUUUAAGAGUACAACAGUCACAGGGACAUUUUACUGCUUAAAUCUGCUUCAAGUAGAUUUUCCUGAUUGUACUCUCAUACUUUUACUUCAGUAACUUCUUAAAUGCAGGACUUUUAUUUGAAGCAGAGUAUUUUUUCAGUUUAAUACUUUUACUUUAGUUUUUGUAUACUAGAUCCACAACUGCUUUUCUCAGUCUUAACAAAAGGAAACUAAUGAUCUUGGUUAUUUCUCCUGUAAACAACUUUCUGAUGCUGAACUGAUCUCUGCUGCAGAGACAUGAGGCUGUGAUGUGUCUGUUUCUGGCAGCGUCCACUGUUGGCAGAUAUUUCCAUAAACACAAUAUAAAACUACUGCGUUAAGUAAAAGUUCUGCUGUCAAAAUGUCA